rnacentral:rRNA from 1 species
AGCUCCAAUAGCGUAUAUUAAAAUUGUUGCGGUUAAAACGCUCGUAGUUGGGUAUCUGCCAAGAAGUUGUGGUCCUCCCAAGUGGAGAGUACUCGGAACAUUUCUUGUCAAUUGUUCAGGGACGGUGUUUACACUUGGCUGUGCGACACGAGAUCUGAAUUUUUACUUUGAGGAAAUGAGAGUGUUUCAAGCAGGCAGUUGCCUUGAAUAUGAUAGCAUGGAAUAAUGGCACAAGACCUCUUUCCUAAGCUGUUGGUUUUUGGAACGAGGUAAUCUUAAUAAGGACAGUUGGGGGUAUUCGUAUUUAGCUGUCAGAGGUGAAAUUCUUGGAUUUUUUAAAGACGAACAAUUGCGAAGGCAUCUGCCCAGGAUGUUUUUGUUGAUCAAGAACGAAAGUAGG